rnacentral:ncRNA from 1 species
UUCUUCAGGGCAGGGUGUAAUUCCCGACCGGCGGUUAUAGUCCGCGAGCCUAACGGCUGACUUGGUGUAAUUCCAAGACCGACAGUAUAGUCUGGAUGAGAGAAGAG